CUACGGGAUGCAGCAGUGAGGAAUUUUGCGCAAUGGGGGAAACCCUGACGCAGCAACGCCGCGUGAGUGAAGAAGGCUUUCGGGUCGUAAAGCUCUGUCAGAUAGGAAAAAAGUUCAUAUGUAAAUAGCUUAUGAAUCUGAUGGUACUAUCAGAGGAAGCACCGGCUAAGUCCGUGCCAGCAGCCGCGGUAAUACGGAGGGUGCAAGCGUUGUUCGGAAUUACUGGGCGUAAAGGGCGUGUAGGCGGUAUGGUAAGUCAGAUGUGAAAGCCCUGGGCUUAACUCAGGAAGUGCAUUUGAUACUGCCAUCCUUGAGUAUGGGAGAGGAGAGUAGAAUUCCCAGUGUAGAGGUGAAAUUCGUAGAUAUUGGGAGGAAUACCCGUGGCGAAGGCGACUCUCUGGACCAAUACUGACGCUGAGACGCGAAAGCGUGGGGAGCAAACAGGAUUAGAUACCCGAGUAGUC
rnacentral:rRNA from 1 species